GCGGAACUGGCGGAAUUGGUAGACGCGCUAGAUUCAGGUUCUAGUGGGGGAUAACUCUGUCCGGGUUCAAGUCCCGGGUUCCGCA
rnacentral:tRNA from 2 species